rnacentral:rRNA from 1 species
AAACCAGCACCUCAAGUGGUCAGGAUGAUUAUUGGGCCUAAAGCAUCCGUAGCCUGCUUUGUCAGUUUUCGGUUAAAUCCAUGCGCUCAACGUAUGGGCUGCCGGAAAUACUGCAAAGCUAGGGAGUGGGAGAGGUAGACGGUACUCGGUAGGAAGGGGUAAAAUCCUUUGAUCUAUCGAUGACCACCUGUGGCGAAGGCGGUCUACCAGAACACGUCCGACGGUGAGGGAUGAAAGCUGGGGGAGCAAACCGGAUUAGAAACCCCAGUAGUCC